UACGUAGGUCGCAAGUGUUGUCCGGAUUUACUGGGCGUAAAGCGCACGUAGGCGGUCUGUUAUGUCGGAUGUGAAAGCCCUCGGCUCAACUGAGGAAGUGCAUCCGAAACUGGCAGGCUAGAGUACUAAAGAGGGUCGCGGAAUUCCCGGUGUAGAGGUGAAAUUCGUAGAUAUCGGGGGGAACACCGGUGGCGAAGGCGGCGACCUGGGUAGAUACUGACGCUGAGGUGCGAAAGCGUGGGGAGCAAACAGG
rnacentral:rRNA from 1 species